rnacentral:rRNA from 1 species
GACGAACGCUGGCGGCGCGCUUAACACAUGCAAGUCGAGCGGUAAGGCUCCUUCGGGAGUACACGAGCGGCGAACGGGUGAGUAACACGUGAGUAAUCUGCCCUUCACUUCGGGAUAACCACCGGAAACGGUGGCUAAUACCGAAUACGACCAGUCUUCGCAUGAGGUGCUGGUGGAAAGUCUUUUCGGUGAAGGAUGUGCUCGCGGCCUAUCAGCUUGUUGGUGGGGUAAUGGCCUACCAAGGCUUCGACGGGUAGCCGGCCUGAGAGGGUGACCGGCCACACUGGGACUGAGACACGGCCCAGACUCCUACGGGAGGCAGCAGUGGGGAAUAUUGGACAAUGGGCGAAAGCCUGAUCCAGCAACGCCGCGUGAGGGAUGACGGCCUUCGGGUUGUAAACCUCUUGCAGUACCGACGAAGCGCCCUGUCGGGUGGUGACGGUAGGUACAGAAGAAGGACCGGCCAACUACGUG